GUUUGGAUUAGCGUUCAUCUCGUCCGCGCGCGUAACCGUCUUAUCUCCGUUUCUCGGUAACGCGUAUAUUUACACGUUCACCGCGUUAGUAUUUAUCCCGAAGUGAAAUCGUUCGUUAUAAAAUUUGGGCCACCCCCAAGUUAUCCGACCACUAUACCCGUAAAAGUACGGUCCGCGUAAAAGUCCCUAUCGCACGCACUUCAAUUACCGCGUACUAAUAACCGCACACGUUGUUUAUAUAAUAUUCGUGUAAAUAAUGCAUCGAUUUACCAGCGCGUCCGAGUGUAUAUUACAUUUUACCAUAAUAGAC